rnacentral:lncRNA from 1 species
GGAAUGGAAAUAUCACUGAAACUAAAGAAAACGACCGUCCAGUCCAGUGGGUGCAAACUGGGGACUUCAGCUGGAUUCACCCCUCAGGUGGCUUCUGUUUGGCCACCACCUUGUUUGGUAAAGUAAAGCUGACAGCAGCCAAGUCAUAGCCCCUGAAACAUGCAGCAGAUGAAGACAGCGGCCCUCGUUGGACAAAAACCACAUCUGCUUCCUUUUAAAAGAAAUGACAAACAGAAUAGCUGCUCACCAUUCACAGCAACAGAGUCUAGAACUUAAGAUGCUCCAAGCAUCUUAACACCUUCUCAACUCAACGCACCAACGGAAGGGUCACCAUGUAUAAAGAAAAACGUGUUCUUCCAUUUAAUGUUUUCCCUUUCAGUAGGACCCUAUCACCCUUUUUUAAGUAACAGCUUUAUUAAGAUAUAAUCUAGCAGUAGAUGGCAGCUGCCCUUUAUCAUUUUAUUAUGCUAUGUUUUAGAGACAGCAAGAGCCUGUACUUUUGUUUGGCUUACAGAAACUCAAAUGCAUGCAAUGUAUCACUUCACCCAUGCAUACCCCUGGGUUGAAAAUAUGCCCACAUCUAUGGAACACCUAAGAACAAGCAUUACACAAAUAAACCUUUUCCCUAAAUUUCCCUGUGAUUCUUGGAGCUACUGAGACAACACUCCAAUAUUUCUGUAAUUUUUAAGCCCACAAAGGAAAGUUAGUGUAUAACAAAGGCCUUGGUGGCUUUCAGCUGCAUCCUAAGCCUCCUCUCGUUAAAUUUCUUAAUAGACUGGCCUCAUAUCAGAGCCCAGGAGGAGAUGGUCCACCUAGGAACAGGGGUUCUAAUAGUUAACUCUGAAACUGGAAGCAAGCCAGUGACAAGGAGUUGAAACUAAAGAAGACAGGAGACCUCCGUAAAUGUCCUUCCAGCAUAGACCUAAGGUUCUGAGCAACUGUGGGUAACGCAAAAACCAUUAUUGAAACCAAUAAAAUACCAUUAUUUU